rnacentral:rRNA from 1 species
AUGUGACAGGGAUGGUGGGAAUUUAAACCUCUUCCAGAGUAUCUACCUGGAGGGCAAGUCUGGUGCCAGCAGCCGCGGUAAUUCCAGCUCCAAUAGCGUAUAUUAAAAUUGUUGCAGUUAAAAAGCUCGUAGUUGAAUUUCUGCUGUAUUGCAUUUUCUCUUUUUAUAUGAGUUUUUGCAUUAUGGCUUAUUUCAGUAUUAAUUUUUUAUUAUUACUGAAUGUUUACUUUGAGAAAAUUAGAGUGCUCAAAGCAGGCUUUUGCCUUGAAUAGUUUAGCAUGGAAUAAUAAAGUAGGACUUUGGUUCUAUUUUGUUGGUUUUAGGUACCAAAGUAAUGGUUAAUAGGAACAGUUGGGGGCAUUCGUAUUUAACUGUCAGAAAGUGGAAUUCUUAGAC